rnacentral:lncRNA from 1 species
AUGCAUAGUAUAAUUUUUGAAUAAUAUUUCACUUUUAGAGAUGCUUUUAUUCUAAUUUUCUUACUUCGAAUUAUUAUAUGUGCUAUUUGUGUGUGUAAAGACUUGAUUCAUGUCUCUCUUUGAUUCAUAAUAUCAAAAGAGAAUUUACAAUGUCUUAGAAAUAUAAACCAUAGGUCGUUACAUGUUUUUCCCUAAAAUGUUGGUUGUAAUUUAGAUGUAUGAAUCUUCGUUAAUGUCACCUUAAUUGAAAUUUAAAGAUUUCCUUUCUUGAAAAGUUAGCCUUUAUUUUCUUUUGUUAAAUGGAUUAGUGUCUAUGUUUGUUCAAUUUUAGAAGUCAUGAGUAUUUUUCUUAUUGUCUCGU